rnacentral:rRNA from 1 species
UACGUAGGGGCUAGCGUUGUCCGGAUUUAUUGGGCGUAAAGAGCGUGUAGGCGGCCAGGUAGGUCUGCUGUGAAACUCGAGGCUCAACCUCGAGACGUCGGCGGAAACCAUCUGGCUAGAGUCCGGAAGAGGAGAGUGGAAUUCCUGGUGUAGCGGUGAAAUGCGCAGAUAUCAGGAAGAACACCCGUGGCGAAGGCGGCUCUCUGGGACGGUACUGACGCUGAGACGCGAAAGCGUGGGAGCGAACAGG